GGGACGGACGCAGGGCUGCGGCUGCGGGAGGGGAGGCAGGCUGCGGCAGUGUGCGGCUUCGUGUCAUGUCGCUGUCAGAAAACGCUCGAUCUCAACACAAUUCUAAAUAAGAUGAGGGAUGGCAGGUGAUGGUAUUCAGACUACGAACUGUUUCCUGUCCUGCCUCAGUAUUUCUUUUUUGUAAGAUUUUAACUGUGGUUGUAGACUUAGGCAAAAUACAUGUUAGAAUGCAAACCAGUAAUUGUUUCAGAUGAUCUCUGGUUUGAAGGAGCACCUCAAGAUUUUGCAAGACCUCUUUACCAGCAUCCUUCCUCUCUAAGGUGUCUAACUGAAAUGAGGUUUCAGAGAUGUUGAAGAUCUAAUGUCUUUUAAGCUUCUUAUGAGAAAUGUUCGCUUCUUGCAAGUUUCGUGUAGUAGGUGCUCGUGUUACACCAGUUGUUAUAGUACUAAAGAUACUUUAGUACAAUGUAAUAGCAGCUGAAAUUUGUGAUAAUGUGUUUUCUAUAGUUUCAUUUAGACGCAGGUGUGCCCUUCUAGAAUUAAAUGUCUCUUAGUUUCUUAUGGUUUACACAAGCUAUAUCUAGCAUUUCACUGGCUACACUGAGUGUUGCUGUUGGUUGAAUAUAUCCUGUGUAAAAUUGUGUCCCUCCAAGGCAUAAGAACCCAGCAUCUGCAAUUGUUCCACCAAAUUCUGUUGGAGCUGUAAAAGUCUUCCAGUGUAAUAACUUUUCAUUAACCCGCAAACUGUGGAAUGCUCUUAUGGAAUAUUGGCAUGAUGAGAAAUUAUUCUCUUUGGGAUGCAUGGUGGUUUUUCCAGUUAGAUGUAUUGUUUUAGAGACUUUUUCCAGGUUUGAGGAGAAAUGAUGAAACUUAACUUGCUUCCAGAUGCAAAAAAUUGCCUUUGUUAUGCAUCACCAUUAAGUGACUUCCUUUACCGAAGGAAACAUCAUGAGGCUGUUACUGGUACAUCUAUCUCACCAACAUCUCUCUGUUGCUUUCUUACUGUCCACAUUUUUUUGAAGUGGACAUUUCUCAGAGCUUUCUCAGUAAUAAUGCAAGCUUUCACACCUUGUUUAAAUUAAAAACAAACAAACCAACCAAUUUACAGUGGGCUGUUCAUGUUAAUCCCAAUAUAGCAUUUAACAGUGAGCAAGUUCUGCAGGCUGUAAGGGGCAGAGACUGAGCCCUUACAUUGGCAGAACUAUUUUGUUAAUGUAACAGCAAUGCACGCAGACUUGCUUUUUGUGAAAUUAGCAGAAAAACUUACAUGAUUUGAGUGGCGUAGCGUUAAGACCUUUGAAAUUUGUCCUUCUUUUAGUGUAAAUUGACACAGACUUUUAUCUGCCUGUCUCACUUUUAAAAUGCUAGGUUUGGCAAAUAGAGUCUUAUGGGGAGGGUAGCAAUAUAGUUCAUGUGAAUUUUCCAGCUAGGGAGCAUGGCACACAGACUAGAGGUAUCAGUGUAGUUUAAGCACUAUCUUUUAACAGUAGAUUUAUUAUUAUAUUCAACAUACAGUGUGGACAUGCACAAUAGUGAGGAAAAGGGCUAACAUGGGAUUGGUUUCGUCCUUUUAGAAGAGAGAACCUUUUGGACAUUCUUAAUAUUUAUAUGAAAGUUUUCUCCCAUAUGUCUACAACUGAGCAUUAAUAACAGGUGCAUAGUAGCUGUUAGCAUGUAACUAGUAUUCAAGUAGUUAAUGCAAGGAAUAUGUGUAAUCCAAACCUUCAUGUGUCAAGGUGGCGUUAACCUGUGAAUUUUUCACUGUUUUUGAAGUCAGUGUUUAAGAAGUAAAAUAUUCAUAGUAUUUUUUUACAUUGUCUUUUUUUUUUCCCAUACUAAAAGAAGUUAACGGUACAUUUUUUUCUGUUUUUUCCAGCAGGAUUUAAACUUCCCUUGUGCAGUAGGAAUACUGAUUUUGACCUUAUUUCAGCUGGAUGAAAUUCAGUUCUGGAGCCAGAGUCCAACAAUGCUAAUGUUGAAGAAAACAAACUAUUAGCUUGAAAAUGUUAGAAUGAAUUUUCCAUUACAAGGGGUGUUCCUCCGUAUUAGGGGGGAAGUGUUGUUUUAUGAAUCAUCACUACAUUUCUCAUUGUCUAGAAGGAGUGCUUGGAACUGAGGUGAUACACUCAGUGGUCUUUGCACAGACAUGCUUGUAUUAUUUUAGCUGUUGCAAAGAGAAGCACAAGUCCCAUAAUAUUCUGUCGUGAUUGUAUUUAAACUAUAUUGUUGAAGGAAUUUUCUGUUCAUAAUCUGUUUAAAAAUUGUGCUCAUACUCUUUUAUUGUUCAGUUGCUAAGCUUAUGCAGGUACAAAUUUAUACUAUUUACCACCCCUUAUACUUUUAUAAAUAACAAAUCUGUGCUGGAUUUUUCUCAUAUUUCCGUAAGUUCUUCUACUCAUUCCAUUCUCCACAGUUCAAGCUGGGUCCUUUUGUUUUCCCAACUGCAGGAACCCUCUAGAUGAGACAGAAAUCUCUAAUAUAGCUUGUGCCAGCUUUGUGGAUCAGAAACUUUUCUAUUUUAAUUUCUUCCACAUAUGAGGAUGAUGCAUUUUCUAUGAGGUUUUUGUCUUUGUUUGAGUUGAUUAUGUCUGUGUUCUCUUAUGCUGCAAGUGGCAGAUUUUCCUCAAGUGAUAAUGUUAGCAAAUAACAGUAUACAAUCUUUGGAAAUUAAAUGAUCUGUUAGUUUCCAGAAAAUGCUGCACAAAUUUAAUCUUCUAUUGCUAUGACAAUUAGAAUAAUGAAAGGAUAUAUUCUUAGGACUUUGGGUCAAGGUGUACAUCUUCUAGUGCUUGCAGACUGCCUCUUGUGUUAAAGGAUCUGCCUGGCUGAGCUCUCAACAGUUUGUCUAAGAAAAAGGUGGAGGACUGUGGGUUCUGGUCUUUGAGGGAAGGGUGUCUUUCAGUAGUUUAUAAAAUUUGGUUUUGUCAGUGCCUGUGCUUCUUUGACCAGGAUUUAAAGUAAGUUUUUGGAGGCAUUGCAUGUUUAUAGGACUGAAAUCAUCAUGCUCCCAAGCUGAGGCUGAAAGGUGAGGUAUGGAGAGCCUGUGUAUUCUGCUGUGUCAAUGCACCUGCCUUAAUUUGAGCUGGUCAUAUUAGUCACAUGCAGUGCAGAAAAACAGACAUCAGUAGGCAGCAUUUUCUUAUGAAUUGUUCCACUUACUGAUCAAUAAACUUUCUCACUGACAGUCUUUAAAUAUGUGUCUAGUUUAAUAUCAGAGUCUUUGUAUGAAUAAUUUGUGCAAUCAUUGUUGCCUUUUCUCCUGGUGCUAAUAUUCCAAGACUCUCAGAAGUCCAUGAGAAUAAUUUAUGAUUGAAAAGAAUAUUUUCUUCCAUAAGUAACUCACCUCUCCAUCAAAACUGGUACUAGCCCAAGAUUCUGCCAUAUGAGCAGUCAUGAUGCAUGCUAGGGCCAUUUCUGUAAAGUAUGGGUAAAAUCUUUUGAAUGAAUUUAAGACUCAGAAUAUCUCUUGAGUGCAUAACUUUCUGGAGCUGUGAUUAUUCAGGCUUUUGUUUCUGAUUUCCUUGUGCAGAUGAAACCUGUGACCUCAGCAUAUGUUCUUGUUGCUUGAAAAUGCAACAUGAACAAUACAAUUCUUGUGAAAAGUAUUUUUCCAGGACCUCUUUGGCUUCUGUCAUUUUUCAGAUGGGAUUUUAAUUUUUUUUUUUUAAUUUUGACAUAUAACUUUCUUUGUCCAUCAACUGGAAAGCAGUUGCUAGACACAGCAGAGCUAGCUUGGCUCACCUCAAAUAAGAAGCGUCAGGUGGAAUUUUUUAGUACUACCCAUCUUUAGAAAAAGGCUCAGAGACUUGAAAUUUCUAUUUCCCACUAUCAUCAUACUUUGCAAAGAAAGAUCAAGACCUCAUAGGGAGUUAUUUCACAAAGAGGAGGAUGUGUAGUAGUGUCAAAUAUCAAAGAUGUAUUAGGAUAUUGAAGAUGGUUGGGGGAGACUUGGGAGAAGAAAGUUAGUGCAACUGGAAUCUUUUGGCCUUUUUUGUGAUCAGUAGCACUGCUGUGUUAACAGAACAGGUCUGUUUCAAAUAUUUUAACUUCCAUUGUAAUAACUUGCAAAUGUUCAAGUGAUAUUUUGUUUCUUGGAUAGACAUUUCCCAUUCUCAUUCCCUUGGGGAAAUUCUUUCACCUUAAAAAAGUCUAGAACUUCUUCCUUUUAGUUACAUAGACACACAGCAUUUUCACUGUUUAAAUGUUAUUAGGAAACUCUUUAAUUUUGAUCUUGAAUUUUAAUCUUAAUUUUGAUCUUGGAUUUGACUGAAGAAUGAAAGAUGGUUGUCUUUGAGAUGUGGGAUCUGUUUCAGCCUUUUCUGUCUGCUCCCGGUCAGCAGAAUAUCUCUGCUUCACUUGCCUGGGUCCAAUUUUUUUCUGUACAAAAUUAGCUUUGCCUAGAGCUCUAAACUGAUGAUACAGGUAAACUUAUAAAUAAAACUAUAAUGUAAGUCGCCCAUUAGCUUUUGACAUGUAUAUGUACCUGGAAGAGUUCUUUCUUUUCCGCUGUGCCUUGCACUCAAUUUUCAGUGGUUUUCUACCAGAAGUAAGUACCUUAUGCUUUUUUUUUCUGAUCAGAAAAUGAGCAAAUAUUCUUACAACUUUUCUUUAGGAUAGCUCUGUUUUAGUUUGUUGACGAUCUUUUUAAAUCAAUCACUUUUAUCUACAAAACAGUUUCUAACUGGCCUUGCACGUGCUAAUGUGUCAUUUCCAACCCUUUCAGAAAUAUUUGUGUGAUACAGUUUCCUGUGGCAUUCGCCAUUAAUUUCUCCUGCUGUGACAUGUUUCUAGCACACACAAAAUAAAGCUGUUUGUUUACUCACACUGCCGUAAAAAUCAAACAGUUCGAACCCUUCGGUUACUUGCCCAUCUGCUACCAGAGGUAAUUCGAAACUGCCUUUGCUUGGUUUCCCAACAGGGGCUGUUUAUUAAUCCAGCCAUCUCUGUCCACCGUGUCUCCUGCGGCUCAGUUCCAGCAGAACUGCCUUCUCCAACCUGCCUUGCAUCCUGCCACCGUGGCAGGUGUGGCAGAGGGAACAGCUUUGUUGCCAUCUGGAAUUAUUUCUGUCUUUCCAACUCAAUGAACUGCUGGGGUUUUUAAUCUCUUAUCUGAAAAUUUCUUGACUGUUCUGUGUAUCCAAACUGCCCUUACCUUCUGACAGUCUUUAACUUUGUGUUUGGUGUGUGUUUUAUGUUUGGUAAUUUCCUAUGGUUCUUACUAUACUGCAACUUGAACUCUUGUCUUUCAUGCAAAAUGGAUUUUCCUUUGAAGAUGCUCAACUGUGACAUGAUCUCAACUGUCUUGGUUUUAUAAUUAUGAAAGGCUUCUAAACUGGGAUUUAAGUGAGAGUAAGAAAAAUGUAGAAAAGUUAUCUCACCAUUUCCAUGGUUGAAGUGAAACUUUGCCAGUGGUACGGAAGUACGCAGUUUUGAUGAAUUGUGAUCUGCAAAGCAUUGCUCAGUUGGAGUUCUGCCUUCCUCUGCUUCUGGUGCAAAAUUGACAGCUGUUCUUCUUUCAAAUAGGAGAGAUCACCUCA